CUUUUGGUCCUCUUCACCCCGGCUCUCCAGGGGCUGCCUCUCUUUGUCUGUCUCUCUCCUCUAGGCGUUAGGCCAGGUUCACACAUACUCCGUUUGCAGUGCGUAUGCUGUGCGUAUUUUUAACCCUGCCCAUGUUAACAGAGCAUUCACACUGCAUAUGGAUGCGGUUACAGGAGCGGAGUGGUGCGGUUAUGCAGUGCAUUACAGGAGCGGAGCGGUGCGGUUCUGCAGUGCGUUACAGGAGCGCAGCGGUGCGGUUCUGCAGUGCGUUACAGGAGCGGAGCGGUGCGGUUCUGCAGUGCGUUACAGGAACGCAGCGGUGCGGUUCUGCAGUGCGUCACAGGAGCGCAGCGGUGCGGUGCACCAGUGCAUUACAGGAGCGGAGCGGUGCGGUUCUGCAGUGCGUUACAGGAGCGGUGCGGUUCUGCAGUGCGUUACAGGAACGCAGCGGUGCGGUGCACCAGUGCAUUACAGGAGCGGAGCAGCACACACCAUUGUACUUUCACAUAAGGGUUCGG
ensembl:lncRNA